AGAUGAGGACACUAAGGCACAGAAGGGUUAGUUGUCUUUUCAAGGACACAGAGCUGGCAAGAGGAUGCUUUUCCUUAGAGAAUUGCCCCUCCCCCAAACUGUCCCAGAGGCACUGUCAGUCACAUGGCCACCAGCUUCCCUACUGCAGGGCCUGCAGAGUUUUCUAUAUCCCCAUGCAAGGUGGAGAGAAUCUGCUUAAGACUAAAUCCAACACAAAGAAAGAAGAGCUGUGAAAUUGUGGUUUGGAGAGAGAAUGAGAGAAAAAUGACAAGAAUGGGCAUAAUUAUUUUGGUACCUGAAUUCAGCUACAUCUGGCCAGCCUGCCUCCAUACUUUUCAGUUUUGUUAUUCAAUAAAAUACUUUUCCCCCCAAUACUAGUUUGAGUUGGCUGUCACUUACCAGAGGAAUAGUUUGUAUUCACACAGAUUUAAA